AACGCUAGCUACAGGCUUAACACAUGCAAGUCGAGGGGCAGCAUGUUGGUUGCUUGCAACCAAUGAUGGCGACCGGCGCACGGGUGAGUAACGCGUAUCCAACCUUCCCCUUACUCGGGUCCAGCCCGUUGAAAGACGGAUUAAUCCCCGAUGCUCUCAUAUGCUGGCAUCAGUUUAUGAGCAAAGAUUUAUCGGUAAGGGAUGGGGAUGCGUAUGAUUAGCUUGUUGGUGUGGUAACGGCUCACCAAGGCUACGAUCAUUAGGGGUUCUGAGAGGAAGGUCCCCCACACUGGAACUGAGACACGGUCCAGACUCCUACGGGAGGCAGCAGUGAGGAAUAUUGGUCAAUGGAGGCAACUCUGAACCAGCCAAGUAGCGUGCAGGAUGACGGCCCUAUGGGUUGUAAACUGCUUUUAUGCGGGGAUAAACGAGCCUACGUGUAGGUUUUUGCAGGUACCGCAUGAAUAAGGACCGGCUAAUUCCGUGCCAGCAGCCGCGGUAAUACGGAAGGUCCGGGCGUUAUCCGGAUUUAUUGGGUUUAAAGGGAGCGUAGGCGGCCUGUUAAGCGUGUUGUGAAAUGUGGGUGCUCAACAUCUGCACUGCAGCGCGAACUGGCGGGCUUGAGUGGGCUGAAAGUAUGCGGAAUUCGUGGUGUAGCGGUGAAAUGCUUAGAUAUCACGAGGAACUCCGAUUGCGAAGGCAGCAUGCUGUGUCCUUACUGACGCUGAAGCUCGAAGGUGCGGGUAUCGAACAGGAUUAGAUACCCUGGUAGUCCGCACGGUAAACUAUGGAUGCCCGCUGUUGGCGAUACACUGUCAGCGGCCAAGCGAAAGCGUUAAGCAUCCCACCUGGGGAGUACGCCGGCAACGGUGAAACUCAAAGGAAUUGACGGGGGCCCGCACAAGCGGAGGAACAUGUGGUUUAAUUCGAUGAUACGCGAGGAACCUUACCCGGGCUUAAAUUGCACUGGACAGGCCAAGAGAUUGGCUCUUCUUCGGACCAGUGUGAAGGUGCUGCAUGGUUGUCGUCAGCUCGUGCCGUGAGGUGUCGGCUUAAGUGC
rnacentral:rRNA from 1 species